rnacentral:rRNA from 1 species
UACGUAGGGGGCAAGCGUUGUCCGGAAUCAUUGGGCGUAAAGCGUGCGCAGGCGGUUUUUCAAGUCAGAUGUGAAAUCCCCGGGCUUAACCUGGGAACCGCAUUUGUGACUGCAUAGCUGGAGUACGGCAGAGGGGGAUGGAAUUCCGCGUGUAGCAGUGAAAUGCGUAGAUAUGCGGAGGAACACCGAUGGCGAAGGCAGUCCCCUGGGCCUGUACUGACGCUCAUGCACGAAAGCGUGGGGAGCAAACAGG